UUUGAAGGCAAAACGUCAGAAAAUAUUGUGGAAAUUGAUUCAGACAAAUUUAGCUAACUCUCGAAUAAUUACAGACUUACGAAUGAAUUAUCGUGUAAAUAAAAUCGAGCAAUGUAACGACCGCGAACACGAGGAGUCAUGGAUUCUGAAUCUGCCUGUACACGCGCAGGACUGAUGUAUACGUAUGUACAUAAGACUACGUGAGAUUACGAGAAUGUUCGCAUGGACACACGAGUGCUACGAACCAGGGGCGUGAUCAGAUCCAUAAUAACCCUGCCGAGUAACUCAUCGAUGAUUGACGUAUUAACAUUUUUUGUCACCUUAAUUAUUACUCGACAACAUUUUUCGGAUUCUUCGAUCGUCGAUUGCACAAGCAUUCGUCGAAUCAUUCGUGGAGAAAAAAAUUUCACGAGUUUGUUGUCAGAACAAAUGGCACUGAUGAAUUAGCACAAGCCAUCAGCUUUGCUCGCUUCGUCCAGUUGCUGGGAAUUAUUUCUCCGAUCCGUGGCCAGGAAUUGCAAGCUCCUUGUCAGUCUCGAUUUCAAUAUUUUCAUUAAAAAGUCAGUUACACUGUGCUCGGCCAGAAACGUUAUUUUGAAGACUGUUGAAAAAAGUGGGAGAACUGUACUGGGAUGAUGAGAACGUGAUAGAAGUGACUGUUCCUGUGCCGAGAACAUGGAGAUGAUCGAUCACGGUAUUUGCGGCUCGUUGGAUUAUAAAUGAAAGUGAGAAAACGUUGGAAAACAUCGCAGCAUAUCGAUCGUCCUCCGGAGGACAAAUCUCCAAGACGUUUUGUCGAAUAACACGACGCGAUAGAACGCAUGUACGCCAAGGCACCGUCUUGUACAUCGUCGAAAGUGCAUUCACGUAAAUUACAUCCCAGGGCCGUGCUUGUCUCAAGAUUGACCCUGGUAACUAAAGGUCUUGGAUCGAGCAUGAUACAAAAGACACUCGUGAUCGCGUGAAAGGUCGCGAUCUCCAACACUGAAGUUCGAGACAACAUUUUUGGCUGCUCGUUCGACGGGUUUGGAAGAAAUAUUUUUACUUCGAUUUUUUACUACGACGUGUGUGUUUUUUCCAACUUUUUACCCACGAGCGGAUGCUCUAGGGGUCCGUGCCGCUAUACGCUAUAGUGAGAGGAGGAAGACAAGGCGAGAGUGUGAAAGGAGAAGAGAAAUGUAGUGGUUACUCGUAUGCUACUGUACCACGAAACCGGUUGGUCCUUCCGUCCUUCCGCGCUCGUGGAGAAAAACACGAAACAUGAACCUUCGAGUGCACGCUCAUUUCUCUGUGUAUGCGUGUGACGAAAUUUCUGACCAAGGACUUCCGCUGUGAAGCAUCCUCUCGAGCAGCGAGUUCGAUAAUGAAAGAAAUAUCGACAAAAAUUCGCGACUUUUCUACGAUACGAGAGCGUCGAUCAGAGUGUGGGGAAUGAGGAAAAUUCGAUUGGAAAAAAGUCUCGAGACGUUUGACAUUUCGAGUGAUUGAGUUUCAGGGAUUAAUGUGAAAAUUAUAUUUCGUUCUUCUUCUCGCAUAAAACGCUUUUUUCUCCCGCAUUUUAAUUUCAUAACCUCGUUUGGUGUAGCGUUAAAUAAAGAUAAAAACGAUGCAUUAUUUUAA